AUCCUUUUGUAGUCCUAAGCAUGACUGCGUGUUCACACCUUUGUGUGAUAUGUGCCUCCCUCAAACCUUAUUAUGACCUUGGCACUUUACCUGUCUGAUA
ensembl:snoRNA